GAAAUAAGAAACCCAAGAAUAAGCUUCUAACUUAAGUCUUUAGCAGUGAAAUUCUGUUAGUAUUUCU
rnacentral:tRNA from 1 species